GCUUAGCUUCAGAAAAACAGCACCUGUCAAAUCUUACAUCCGUGUACUUUGGCUGUGGGAGCAACAGCAAUGUGUAUUGACUAAAACUCAAAUAGGUCAUUCCUACAUACUUGAAAACCUUCUGCUUCUGAUCAGUGUCUUAUGCAUCAGCUAUCCAAGAUUUAAUACCUCAUGGAAUGUACUUGCUGGAAAGAAACAAAAAACUAUAUCUCACAACAUUGCACAUGAUGGUAAGACAAAUUUUCCUCAUCAUCUUUAAUUACUGUUCAUAGCAUUAUAAAAGAUAAU
rnacentral:lncRNA from 1 species